GGGGAUUUAGCUCAGCGGUAGAGCGCUUGCCUAGCAAGCGAAAGGCCCUGGGUUCGGUUCCCAGCUCCG
rnacentral:tRNA from 1 species